CUGGUCCAUAGAGGAAGUAAAAGUCGUAACAAGGUUUCCG
rnacentral:rRNA from 1 species